GACGAACGCUGGCGGCAUGCCUAAUACAUGCAAGUCGAGCGAACAGAUGAAGUGCUUGCACUUCUGACGUUAGCGGCGAACGGGUGAGUAACACGUAAGGAAUCUACCUAUAAGCGGGGGAUAACAUUCGGAAACGGGUGCUAAUACCGCAUAAUAUCUUCUUCCGCAUGGAAGAAGAUUGAAAGACGGCUCUGCUGUCACUUAUAGAUGACCUUGCGGUGCAUUAGUUAGUUGGUGGGGUAAUGGCCUACCAAGACGAUGAUGCAUAGCCGACCUGAGAGGGUGAUCGGCCACAUUGGGACUGAGACACGGCCCAAACUCCUACGGGAGGCAGCAGUAGGGAAUCUUCCGCAAUGGGCGAAAGCCUGACGGAGCAAUGCCGCGUGAGUGAAGAAGGCCUUCGGUCGUAAAACUCUGUUAUAAGAGAAGAACAAAUUAGUAGAGUAACUGCUACAGUCUUGACGGUAUACUUAUCUAGAAAGACCACGGCUAACUACG
rnacentral:rRNA from 1 species